UUUUAAGCAGGAGGUGUCAGAAAAGUUACCAGGGAUAACUGGCUUGUGGUGGCCAAGUGUUCAUAGCGACAUCGCUUUUUGAUCCUUUGAUGUCGGCUCUUCCUAUCAUUCUCAGUUAUAAGUGCAGUUCAUAAGUCUGUACUGGCCUCCUACAGGGGUUUGUAUUCAUAUUCUCCAAAGAAAACUGA
rnacentral:ncRNA from 1 species